GUCGCUGUCCGCGUCACCAUAAACGUCUCGCCCCCGCUUGACGCUGGUUGCUGAUUUAAGCGCAGUCCUACAGUGGUUCAGGUCAUAUCUUACAACAUAUCAGUGGCUGGAGACACCAAAACCACACGAGCAAUCUACAACUUCCUCCAUCUCCACCAACAUUUCAUCCCAUCUGAACCUCCCACCAAUUAUGAACAAGCUGGUUUCAGCUGGGAUCAGGCUGUAGCCAUCUCUGUCAGCCCUCAGGUUCAGUGAAAAAUUAGCCCAGCUUCUCCUCCACACUCAACUACUGCCACAGGGACCCAACAGCCCUCCUGCCUCAUCACAGUCACCAGUCACAGAUAAACUAUUAAACAUAGCUUCCUCAACACCUGCACCACCUUAAAGAAAGAGACAAGCUCUUCAACC
ensembl:lncRNA